UAAGGAAUUUUCGUCAAUGGGCGCAAGCCUGAACGAGCAACGCCGCGUGUGGGAUGACGGCCUUCGGGUUGUAAACCACUUUUGAGGGGGACGAUCAUGACGGUACCCCUGGAAUAAGCCCCGGCUAACUCUGUG
rnacentral:rRNA from 1 species